AAAAGGACGAAAUCUGGUGGCCCAACACCGAAGAAGGCCGCUACCAGGCCAAGAUGCGGUGCUCGGUGCCUGUUUUUCCUGUCUUUCAAAGAUCAACGACAUUGAGUAGGUCGACCUCGUCAUACCAGUUAAACAUUUCGAUCAUAUAAACGUAACAACAAAGGCACAAGUAGCAGUAUAAGAGAAACCACAA
rnacentral:sRNA from 1 species